GGGGACGCGUGGUCUCGACAGGGGGUGGUCUCGCGGAAUUGCAGGCCGGGGUGCCGUCCACCCCGUGAACAAGGCGGCAAAAAAGUAACUGGCGAAAAGCAAGUAGCCCUGGCGGCCUAACACGGCUGCCACGUCCACCCUCACCUCUCCUCGAAGGUAAGGAGUGGGCGCCAUAAGUCGAGGUGCAGCCCGCGCAACGCCGGUAGCGAGGGACCAAGACCACCGGCUGGCUACCCGGGUACUCCGGCCGGCAGGGAGACCGGGGUAGCGAGAAUCAAGCGCCGGACAAGCCUGUAGUAGAUUUCAGCGGGAAGCUCUCUGGACGGGGAGUUCGACUCUCCCCCGUCUCCACCA
rnacentral:tmRNA from 1 species